rnacentral:misc_RNA from 1 species
GGAAGAUAAAAAAAACAAAACCAAACAAGCCCCAACACCAGCACCACAUGAUGUCUUUUACUCCUCUCUUCUCCUCCUCUCUUCUUUCUCCUCUAAACUAAAUAAGCAGAUAAAUUUAUAACAGAGGCCCCUUUCUCUCUCUCUCGCGUCCUCUUUGUUUAUGUUUGUUUUGGUUGAAACUUGAAGUUGCAGAGCUAUGGCGGAAUCGGUAGAGCUGCCGAGUCGGUUGGCGAUCCUCCCAUUCAGAAACAAGGUCCUUUUGCCUGGGGCUAUUAUUCGGAUUCGUUGCACUUCUCCGAACAGUGUGAAAUUGGUGGAACAAGAGCUAUGGCAGCGGGAGGAGAAGGGUUUGAUAGGCAUUUUGCCUGUUAGGGAUGCAGCGGCGGAGGAGACUGCAUCUGUGGGCCCCAUGUUAACUCAAGGUGUUGGAAGUGAUUCUGGGGAUAGAAGCUCCAAAAUUCAAGUUGGUAACUCUGAUAAUCUUAAACUUGAUGGCAAAAAUCAGCAGGAAGUUAUUCGUUGGCAUAACAGGGGAGUGGCGGCUCGGGCUCUGCAUUUGUCGAGAGGAGUGGAGAAACCCAGUGGAAGAGUGACGUACAUAGUUGUUCUUGAAGGUUUGUGCAGAUUCAGUGUCCAAGAGCUUAGCAAAAGAGGGAUGUAUCACACUGCACGAAUAUCUUCCCUUGAGAUGACAAAGGCUGAGAUGGAGCAAGUGGAGCAAGAUCCUGAUUUUAUAUCACUGUCUCGCCAGUUUAAAGCAACUGCCAUGGAACUUAUUUCAGUUCUUGAACAGAAGCAAAAAACCAGUGGAAGGACAAAAGUUCUCUUGGAAACAGUCCCAGUUCACAAAUUGGCGGAUAUUUUUGUUGCUAGCUUUGAGAUGAAUUUUGAAGAGCAGCUAUGUAUGUUGGAUUCAGUUGAUCUGAAAGUAAGGCUUUCAAAAGCUACAGAGCUAGUUGAUAGGCAUUUACAGUCAAUACGUGUAGCGGAGAAGAUUUCACAAAAGGUUGAGGGACAAUUAUCAAAAUCACAGAAAGAGUUUCUUCUGCGCCAGCAGAUGAGAGCUAUAAAAGAGGAGCUUGGUGACAAUGAUGAUGAUGAAGAUGAUGUGGCUGCAUUAGAAAGAAAGAUGCAAAGUGCAGGAAUGCCUUCAAAUAUCUGGAAGCAUGCCCAGAGGGAGUUAAGGAGGCUUAAGAAAAUGCAACCUCAGCAACCUGGAUAUAAUAGUUCACGAGUUUACUUGGAGCUUCUUGCUGAUCUGCCCUGGCAAAAGGCUAGUGAAGAAAAUGAUUUGGACCUAAAAGCUGCAAAAGAACGUCUUGACAGUGACCAUUAUGGCCUAGUCAAGGUCAAGCAACGAAUUAUCGAAUAUCUAGCUGUUCGCAAGCUUAAACCAGAUGCAAGGGGCCCAGUCUUGUGCUUUGUUGGUCCUCCAGGAGUUGGGAAAACAUCUCUGGCAUCAUCUAUUGCUGCUGCACUUGGCAGAAAAUUUGUUCGUAUAUCACUUGGUGGUGUUAAGGAUGAGGCAGAUAUUAGAGGGCAUAGGAGAACAUACAUUGGAAGCAUGCCUGGGCGUCUUAUUGAUGGUUUAAAGAGAGUAGGUGUUUGCAAUCCAGUCAUGCUGCUGGAUGAGAUUGACAAGACAGGUUCCGAUGUGCGUGGGGAUCCAGCUUCAGCUCUGCUGGAGGUUCUAGACCCUGAACAGAACAAGACAUUCAAUGAUCACUAUUUGAAUGUUCCGUUUGACCUUUCAAAGGUGAUUUUUGUGGCUACUGCAAAUAGGGCGCAGCCUAUUCCUCCUCCACUCUUAGAUAGGAUGGAAGUCAUUGAGCUCCCUGGAUAUACGCCUGAAGAAAAGCUUAGAAUAGCCAUGCGACAUUUGAUUCCACGAGUUUUGGAUCAACAUGGAUUGAGUUCUGAAUUCCUUCAAAUUCCAGAGGCUAUGGUGAAACUUGUCAUUCAGCGGUACACUAGAGAGGCUGGUGUCCGGAAUCUAGAGAGGAACUUGGCUGCCUUGGCUCGUGCUGCUGCUUUAAGAGUUGCAGAGCAAGAACAAGCUGUUCCAUUGAGCAAAAAUAUGCAGCGUUUGGCUUCACCAUUGUUGGAGAAUGGACUUGCUAAUGGAGCUAAAGUGGAAAUGGAAGUCAUUCCAAUGAAUGAUAACAAUCAUGAGCUAUCAAGUCCGUUCAGGGUCGCUUCACCUUUGGUUGUAGAUGAAACAAUACAGGAGAAAACACUAGGGGUAAAUAAUUCUGCUUAUUAGCUCUUCCUUUCUCAACAGGAUGAUUUACGUUUUGGGUUCUUUAAUCCUUGUUUAUUAUUCAAGGUGUUAAGCUUGUGUUGUUGAAACUUCAUUGUGAAAAAGUGCUUUGUACUGAAGCACUUGCUUGGCAGGCUCAGAUGAAAAUCCUUCAAGGCUAUUUGGUUAUACAUUUGAAGUGAAAAUUCUCAAGAUUUUCACUUAAGUGAAAGUUUGGUGUGGUAGGUAGUGUUUUUCUUUUCAAUUUCAAAUUUCUCAAUUGAGGACUUCGGCAACAUGGAAUGAGCUGAAAACCUAAGAAGUGCAUUUGUCGCAUCUAAUGUCUGUUUUGCUGAGUGUAUAUGAUGCUAUUUUGUGCAACCUAAAACUUUUAGCUGAUAUGAUCUCACCUCUGAUGAUUCUAAUGCACAAAGGGUUCUAAACCCAUAACAACUAACAAGUCUUUUGUAGCCAAAAUGUUUUGGUUUCUCAAAUUACUUGUGUUGAUAACUCCAUCCUGAAAGACAACUUGUGAAAGGAGGAUUGCCUUAGUCAUAUAUGAAGCAUUUUUGCCUAAUACUCAGCUGAUGUGAGACUUAACAUACUCCCCUCACGCCUAGGAUUGUACAUCUAGAGCAUGAAGUUUACAGGACUAGACAUGUGGAUGGCUCAACAUUGAAAUUGGGGUUGGCUCUGCUACUAUGUUGAUAAAAUGGACCGGGUUUAACUCUACCUCAAAAGAUACCUUGUAGUGGAGAAAGGAUUACCUAAGUCACAUAUGAAGCAUUUUUGCCCAACACCCAGCUGAUGUCGGACUUAAAGGAUUACCUAAGUCACAUACUGAACAGAUCUAAUGUUCUUGUGCAUUAUGCAGGCUCCAAGGUUUGAUGGUAAAGAAGCUGCAGAGUGUGUUGCAAAUCCUGGUAUAUCAGUUGGGCUUGUUUGGACCAACUUUGGUGGAGAAGUUCAGUUUGUGGAGGCAACAGCAAUGGUGGGAAAGGGUGAAUUACAUCUUACUGGGCAGCUUGGUGAUGUUAUUAAAGAAUCAGCACAAAUAGCACUGACAUGGGUAAUCUAUAUCCUCAGCCCUUGCAUAUCAAUAGUGCCUCAUUAAAUUGCUUAUAAAUAUUUAUUCUUUAUGCUGGAACCCUAAGUAUUACAAAUUACAGUCAAAUUUAUGUAGACUUCAAGAGGUUGCUUUUGCUAGUAAAUUAUAUGCAGAUGGGUUCAAAUUUACUUUGUCUAUUGCAUCUGUCUCACAUUACUCUUUUUUAUCCCUUUUUUUUUAUUUCUUUCAAGAAAAGGGCAGUUCUGUUUUAUGUUUAGUUGUAUUAUUCAUUUCUUCAAGAAUUCACUGAAAAGUUUCCCUCUAUAAAAUGCAUCUUGAAAGUUUAAUUGGUUGUGAACCAGUGAUUACUCAUCUGUUUUUGGUUCACAAGUCCAGCAUCUACAGCCAAGUGAAAUAUCUGAUUGCGCAAUAUUCUCAUGAAUUGAGAUGUCAUGCAGAAAAGCCUUCCAGUUUUUGCUCUUGGAAAAGUUGGUUUGAAAAUGUCUUCUGAAAUUGUAGGUAUGCGCCAGGGCAAUAGAUCUUAAUUUAACAGCUGGUCAGGAGAUCAAUCUCCUUGAGGGCCGGGAUAUCCAUAUACAUUUUCCUGUCAGGGUCUGUACCAAACCAUGGGUCUGUACCAAACGAUGGGCCCUCAGCUGGUGUGACACUAGUAACAGCUCUUACAACUCAACUCAACUCAACUAA